AAGGGCAUCCUGUGGGCUUAGUAGACGUGUUGCGUGAGCGCUUGAUGUAAAAAUUUGAAUCAGAAGCGGGGCAUUGCCCCUCUUUUUGGACCUAAGGCUCGCUUCUCGGGCCUAUCCGGGCGGAAGACAUUGUCAAGUGGGGAGUUUGGCUGGGGCGGUACAUUUGUUUAAAGAUAACGCAGGUGUCCUAAGAUGAGCUCAAUAAGAACAGAAAUCAGUGCGAAUACGAACCGUGAAAGUGUAGCCUAACGAUCCUUUAGACCUUCGGAAUUCGAAGCUAGAGGUGUCAGAAAAGUUACCAUAGGGAUAACUAGCUUGUGGCAACCAAGCGUUCAUAGCGAUGUUGCUUUUUGAUCCUUCGAUGUUGGUUCUUCCUAUCAUUGUGAAGCAGAAUUCACAAUGUGUUGGAAUGUUCACCCACCAAUAGGGAACGUGAGCUGGGUUUAGACCGUCGUGAGACAGGUUAAUUUUAC
rfam:Solanum lycopersicum cultivar Heinz 1706 chromosome 6, whole genome shotgun sequence.